GAUGAACGCUGGCGGCGUGCUUAACACAUGCAAGUCGAACGGAAAGGCUCCUGCUUGCAGGGGUACUCGAGUGGCGAACGGGUGAGUAACACGGGGGUGAUCUGCCCUGCACUUCGGGAUAAGCGUGGGAAACUGGGUCUAAUACCGGAUAGGACCGCAGUGUGGCUGGGGUGGUGGAAAGUUUUUUCGGUGUGGGAUGAGCUCGCGGCCUAUCAGCUUGUUGGUGGGGUAAUGGCCUACCAAGGCGUCGACGGGUAGCCGGCCUGAGAGGGUGUACGGCCACAUUGGGACUGAGAUACGGCCCAGACUCCUACGGGAGGCAGCAGUGGGGAAUAUUGCACAAUGGGCGCAAGCCUGAUGCAGCGACGCCGCGUGGGGGAUGACGGCCUUCGGGUUGUAAACUCCUUUCGCUAGGGACGAAGAGUAAUUGACGGUACCUGGAGAAGAAGCACCGGCUAACUACGUG
rnacentral:rRNA from 1 species